UGGGGAACAUUGGGACAAUGGGCGAAAGCCUGAUCCAGCAAUGCCGCGUGAGUGAUGAAGGCCUUAGGGUUGUAAAGCUCUUUUACCCGGGAUGAUAAUGACAGUACCGGGAGAAUAAGCUCCGGCUAACUCCGUGCCAGCAGCCGCGGUAAUACGGAGGGAGCUAGCGUUGUUCGGAAUUACUGGGCGUAAAGCGCACGUAGGCGGCUUUGUAAGUCAGAGGUGAAAGCCUGGAGCUCAACUCCAGAACUGCCUUUGAGACUGCAUCGCUUGAAUCCAGGAGAGGUGAGUGGAAUUCCGAGUGUAGAGGUGAAAUUCGUAGAUAUUCGGAAGAACACCAGUGGCGAAGGCGGCUCACUGGACUGGUAUUGACGCUGAGGUGCGAAAAGCGUGGGGAGCAAACAGGAUUAGAUACCCUGGUAGUCCACGCCGUAAACGAUGAUAACUAGCUGUCCGGGCACUUGGUGCUUGGGUGGCGCAGCUAACGCAUUAAGUUAUCCGCCUGGGGAGUACGGUCGCAAGAUUAAAAGCUCAAAUGAAUUGACGGGGGUCAUAGCUG
rnacentral:rRNA from 1 species